AUUCUUGAUACGUUGUUUCUUACACAUUAUCUAGUUUUGAGAGAAUCCAUUCUUUCAACAUAGUUGAACAAAGAGAACCAAGAGAUUCGAGGAAGCAACCGUACGAAUGCCCGGAGCGUAUGUGAUGAUACGUGAGGACAUGAGAAGGGAAGCUGACGAAGAAGAUCGUAGGUUAUCUGAUGUUCAAACAAAUAGUCUGGUGGCGAUAGCGAAGAGGCCACACCCGUUCCCAUGCCGAACACGGUCGUUAAGCUCUUCAGCGCCGAUGGUAGUUGGGGGCUUCCCCCUGUGAGAGUAGGACGUUGCCGGGC
rnacentral:rRNA from 1 species